rnacentral:misc_RNA from 1 species
AAAUCCGCCGCGGGUCCCGGGCCUGAGAAGGGGGAGGGUUCCUCCCCCUUUCCUCUUCCGGUUUCCCGGAUUUCUCCCGGGAGGGGAAGGGGACGGGCAAAAGGAAACGAGAGGCCAGAACGGUACGAAGGAGGAACUAACUUUCGCGGCGGAAGGAUAGGCGGCGGACGGGUCGAGGGAGACGGUGGAUCGUCAGUUCGGCGGAGGAGCUUCGGAGGAAGAAGACGGCCGACAGAGAUUCGUCCGUGACCGAAGAUGUGACCCGGAGCUAUGACCGCCUACUUAACCGUCGUCUGUCUACUUCUGGUCCUGUCGGGGAGGGUCCGGAGUAGAGGGGACGGACCCCGGUUCACCAGGACCGUCUAUCGAGCCUCCGUCCCGGAAAAUUCCGUUUCCAAGACCUACGUCACUUCCGAAGAGAUGAUGGGAAUGUACGUGUCGGACCCGGCCCUGGACGUCAGAUUCAAGAUCGUUUCCGGAGACAAAGAUCGAUUUUUCAAGGCCGAAGCUCGCCGGGUGGGGGACUUCUGCUUCUUGGCCAUUCGCACCCGGACCGGGCUUCACGCCGUGCUCAACAGAGAAUACCAGGACCGCUAUCGCCUGGAAGUUAGGGCGGCGGCCGCCGGCCCUCGCCGAAAGAAGAUCAAGCUCAAAGCGCAGACCGCGGUCGACGUCCGAAUAUUGGACACCAACGAUCUCAAUCCGCUCUUUUAUCCCACCGAGUACGAAGUCAACGUCACCGAAGACACCCCUCCUUACCGCAGCCUGCUGAGAGUCAGCGCCUUCGAUCCCGAUCUGGGAGUCAACGGAGAAAUCUACUAUCGCUUCCUGCAACCCACCCUGCAGUUCGCCGUCCACCCCACCCGAGGCGCCAUCAGCCUGUCGCGCCCCCUGCACCACCGACGACAAUCCUCUUACGAUCUGCUGGUGGUGGCCGAGGACCGAGGACCCAAAUUUCGGGCGGGCGACGUCAGGGCCAGUUCCGCCACCGUCCGCGUACGAGUGGUCCCGGUCAACCUGCACGCGCCGGAGAUCUUCAUCCGAUAUUUUCCCGUCGUGCGUCAGACGGCGCCCGACUCCAUCCUGGCCGUGGUAACAGUGGCCGACGAAGAUCCGGGAAUCCACGGACGCAUCGCCGGGGUGGAGCUGGAGGGCGACCCGGAAGGUCGCUUCAGACUGGUGGCGGGAUCCGAACCAGGGGAGUAUAACCUGUUAGCUGACGGAAGACCACCUCCCGCCGAGUACUCGCUGACCGUCAGGGCCACCGACUCGGGGGUGCCCCCCAAGUCUUCCACGCAGACGAUUCGCCCCAAACUGCCCGAGACGGGAGACGGCGUUCCCGUUUUCCCCCAGUCUUAUUACGAAGCUUCCGUAGACGAGACGGCGCCGGUGGGCACCCCCGUCCUGGUGGUGUCGGUGGCCGCGCCUUCCGACCGAAACUCCGAAAUAUUCUAUUCGGUGGAGGGGGAGGACGACGAUUGCCCCUUCUCGGUGGACUCUCGCACCGGCGCCGUCAGAAUAUCGGCGCCUCUGGACCGCGAAACCAAGAGCCUGCACACACUGGUGGUCAGCGCCGUGGACAAGUCGGUCAGAGGCGUCCGCGCCAAAGGCACCGCUCAGGUGACCGUCCGAGUUUCGGACGCCAACGACAACGAUCCCGUCUUCAACGUCACUUCGGCGGAGGUGGAUCUGGACGAAAACCGACCGGCGGGCAGCCCGGUGUACACCGCCUACGCGGAGGACCCGGACCGGGGCGAGAACGGAUACGUCUCGUACAGCUUGGCCAACGUCAAUCCCGUGCCCUUCCGAAUCGACCCGUUCACCGGCAAAAUAACCACCACCGAUGUCCUGGACUACGAAACCACCAGGCGACAAUACCUGCUGAAGAUACGAGCUUCCGACUGGGGCACCCCCUUCCGCCGUCAGACCGAAACCUCCCUCAGGAUCAGACUGCGAGACGUCAACGACCACCGACCCCUCUUCGAGAAGAUCGAUUGCGAGGUCUACGUCUCUUCCGCCGCGCCCCCCGGCACCCCUCUGCUCCGGCUUUCGGCGGUGGACUUCGACGCCGGCAGCGCCGUCUCCUAUCGGACGGUGCCCUCCGGCCCCCACCCCUGCUUCUCCCUGGACUCUUCCGCCGGAUUUCUGACUCUCACCUGCCACCUGGACCGGCAGAAGUUCCGCCAGGCGCUUCUCAACGUCACGGCUACCGACGGGAAGCAUUUUUCCGACGUGGUACCCGUCCGGAUCAGAGUGGUGGGCGGAGCGGGAGGACCCGGGCACGACGGCCAGACUUCGGUGGAAUGCCGAGACGUGGGCGUGGCCGAGAGACUGCGAGAGCAGAACAGACUGGGAGAACUGAACAACCGACCGGAAGACGUCACCGAACCCACCCCCACCACCUUUCGGGGCAACAGACACCCGCCCGAAUUUCCCGGCAACCGGCCGGCCGAGGUCCGAGUGAACGAGAGCUUGCCGGUGGGGUCGGAGGUAGCCGACCUGUCGGCCAGGGACGCCGAUCGCGGGUACAACGGGCGGCUGGUGUACGCCAUCGCUUCCGGAGACGACGACUGCCGCUUCCGCAUCGACCCGUUCACCGGAAAACUGGGGGUGUUCGCUCCCCUAGACAGAGAAGAGAGAGACGAGUACGUUCUGAAUGUCACCGUCUGGGACCUGGGCCAACCCCCCAAAUCCGCCUCCACGCUCUUCGCCGUGCGCGUGCUGGACGUCAACGACAAUCGGCCCGUCUUCGAGAAGUCCUCCUACCACCUGGUGGUUCCCGAGAACGUCCGCAACGGAACCAGCAUCGUCAGGCUGCGGGCCACCGACGAGGACUCCGGACCCAACGCCCAACUCAGGUUCGAAAUGGAGACGCCGGUGGACGAGUUCGGAGUGGAGGCGGAAAGCGGGCUGCUGACCGUCCGUUCUUCCCUGGACCGGGAGAAGAGGGACGAGUACCGACUGAAGAUGACGGUGCGGGACCUGUCACCCGACCGCCCCCUCUCCUCCUCCGCCACCGUCACCGUGCGCGUGCUGGACGUCAACGACAACCCUCCCCGCUUCGCCCUGCCCCUCUUCCGCAUCAAGCUGCGAGAAGAUCUACCUCCGGGAGCGGUGGUCAUGGUGCUGUCGGCCGACGAUCCCGACCUGGAGGAGGGCGGGAGGGUGGAGUACGAGAUCCGGGGAGGGUCGGACGGAAAGUUCUCGGUCGACCCCGAGACGGGGGCCGUCAGACUGAGCGACCGACUGGACUUCGAACGCCGACAGCUGUACAACGUGACGGUGGAGGCCAGAGACGGGGGCGCGCCCCCGCUGACGUCCGCCGCCCGGCUGCUGGUGGAAGUGGAAGACGUGGACGAGAACGCCCACGCCCCCAGAUUCCCGGACUUCGCCGCUUCGGCCGCCGUGCGAGAGAACGCGCCGGCCGGCACCCGGGUCAAGAGGGUGAGCGCCACCGACGACGACGGCCCCGGACCCGACGGACGAGUCACUUACUCCGUGGUGGAAGGCGACGGACUGGGACUCUUCUCCGUCGACGACUCGGGUGAGGUGAGGACCCGAUGUCCUCUGGACCGAGAGACAGCUUCAGGGUAUUGGCUGACCGUUCACGCCAGAGACGGAGCGGCGGUGCCCGCCUCCUCUCGCCUCUACCUGUACGUGGAAGUGACCGACGAGAACGACAACGUUCCCCUGACCUUCGAGCCCGUGUAUUACGCCCAAGUGCCCGAAAAUUCUCCGGAGGGAACUGCCGUGGUCAAGCUGAACGCCUUCGAUCUGGACUCUAAUCCCCGUCAGACCGUCGUCUAUUCUAUUUCGUCCGGGGAUUCCGACCGAUACUUCUCUAUAGACCCCGCCCGAGGAAUUGUUUCGACCGCGUCCCUCCCUUUGGAUCGAGAGAAGAAAGAGGAGCACGUUCUAGAGAUAAAAGUGGAAGAUGGUGGUAAGCCCCCUCUGUCUUCUGUAACGAGACUGGUGGUGGAGGUAGUCGACCGGAAUGACAACCAACCCGAGUUCCUGGUGCCCAAGUACCACUGCCAUGCGCUAGAAAAAAAGUCUUCGGACGAUGCCCUUCUUUGCCAAGUUUUGGCAGUAGAUGCAGACAGAGGUGCCAAUGCAGAUGUCACCUAUGAAAUCAUAGAGGGAAACAAGAAUGGAAAAUUUAAAAUUCAUUCAGAGGAUGGAACCAUCACUUCCCGAGCCACUUUGGUCGCAGGACAGAAAUUUGAACUUCUGGUAAAAGCAUCUGACAAUGGGCAUCCUGUAAGAACUACUACAACUCGAGUUCUAUUGGAUAUUGUUGCCAGACGUAAAAAAUCAGUUCAUCCUCCAGUUGUGAAAGAUACAGAUAGUGUUAUUGUUGUAGCUGAAACUGACAAAAUUGGAGAUCUUGUUGCAUUGAUACAAGCGGAUGAUCUGGAUGGUGAUAGACUAUGGUAUUAUAUAUUUGUAUGAUCCUGAUGAAGGCUUAAAUGAAGCUGAGAAUUCUUGCAAUUUUGUGUGUUUUGAAUCCAGAUAAAGUCCUUGAAAACUCAGACUGUUAUUGCUAACCAGAUGGAAAUAAAGAAAAUGUAUUUAUGAUGCAGCAGCCUGAUAUGGGAGCUAUAUUAUUAAGAAAACAACUUCAUUGGGAAUUACAGUCAAAAUAUAAUUUAACAGUUGCUAUUACUGAUGGAAUUCAUUUGGU